GUGUUAUAAUAUAAUUAUAUUUUUAUUUUAAAAUAUAAUUGUUGUAUUUUACAUUUACCACUAUAAAAGUUUACCCAACUAUGAAGACUUCUGCUUCUGAGUACCCUGUAAAUGUGAAAGGGGUUCGUUGUGUUUACUUUGGUGUUUCUCAGAAAGGUCUGAACUAAUUACAUUGAUUGACAGUUAGAUCAAUAAUCAAAGCAUCUCAAAGUUUUCCAUUUACUGUUAGUGUGAAAGCAAAAAAAUAACAAAGUGUUUUAUGAUCAAGGUACAAUUUGAGGAAAAAUGCCGGCCAGCAGAGCCAUUUACCCGAUGGGAUACAUUAUGCAGAAUAUGUGCAUAAAAAAUGAAUGAAUCAAAUAAAUCAAAGCUCAGCAGUCAACAUAGCCAGAAUGAGGCUUUUUUGUCCCUGAAAAGUAAUGACGUAACUAGGAAACACAGGCUUGAUUAGCAAUGGAAAAAAAUAAGAAUAUAGGCGUAAUUGCUUAGGCUAAACCACUUCUGUCUUUCCCUCUAAAAUGAUAAAAUAUGUACUCAAGGUACAUUAUCCAAAUUAGAAGCUGAUUCAAGAUCCUUCUAAUAAUUACUCCUGCAUUAUAAUGGAAAAAUACUGAAGUCUGUCAAACUGUGAUUACAGUAAGUGACUGCUGAUAUGAGCAAUCACACUGUUAUAUGACCGUGAGGAAAGAACAAUCUUCUGUCUCCCCAGGUGCUGGAAGCCCAGAUUAUUCAGAGAGACAACCUUGCUGCAGGGACGGCUUUUGCAGUCAAGAGCUUGGAUCACAAGAACAUGACGGGUAUUGGGGAUCUCAGAGGCAGAGUGGCAAGAUGUGAUGCUAGCAUUGCUAAACUUUCAUCAGACGUUAGUGCUGGACGGCAGGACAUCCUGAAACUCCAACAGGAAGUGAGCAAGUUAAACUCUGGGCUGGAGCUGAAGCUGAAAGACAUGGAGCUCAAGCUGUUUCAGGAUAUAGGAAAACUAGAGGUGUCACUGUCAGAGAAGUUCAUUUCUCAGAGGAAUGCCACUGGAGAUUUACAGAAGGAGAUACAACGACAGGAUCUAAAGAUCUCUAGUGGUCUGAGGGAGGUGGAGGAACAGACAGUGAGACUGAGGAAGUGGGCAGAGGAGCAGAUGAAAACCACAGUUCAAUUACACACAGAGAGCAGCCAGCAGCUGCGCACACUGCUGCAGGACAGAGUGGUACAUGUGUGA
ensembl:lncRNA